AUGAGUCCGCCCGGCCAGACAGCGGCGGAAUCUGGGAAGCCGGCAAAGCCCCUCGUGCAGCCAUGGGAGUACAGCCUGCGGAAGUACCUCCUGCUGCUGGCCACCCUGGUGGUCACCGUCACGUACUCGGCCGGCUUCAACGCCCCGGGAGGCGUCUGGCAGGCGGCCCACGACGGCCAGCCCGCCGGCGACCCCAUCAUCCGUUACACCCACUACCACCGCUACCUCGCCUUCUUCUACUGCAACGCCACCGCCUUCACCGCAUCGCUCGUGGUCAUCGUCCUCAUCCUCAUCCUCGCCAUCCGGCACGACAAGGACGAGAAGGAUACCCUCUGGGUCGUCGUGCCCCUGCGGGUCUUCAUGAUGCUGGACCUCCUCAGCCUCGUGGGCGCGUACGGCGCCGGCACUUGCCAGGACAAGAUUUCCACCGUCUACUCUGUGGCGCUGGUGGCCAUAGUCUUCCUCUACGUCGCCAUUCUCAAGUUGCUGGAUCUGAACUGGUGGUGUGCGGUCAACCAACCCCCCUUGGGCUCCAGCGCUGUGAAGGAGCCGAAACUCGAAGAACGGCUCCGCAAGGUCCUGAUGCUCCUCGCGACCUUCGCGGUGAGCAUCACGUACGUCGCCGGGCUGAACACGCCGGGUGGCUUCUGGGACAGCACCGGGGACGGCCACCACCUGGGCGACGCGAUCCUCAAGGACCACCACAAAAUGCGCCUGACGGUGUUCUUACUCUGCAACACCACGGCGUUCGUGGCGUCCCUCCUCAUCACCAUGCUGCUCAUCAUUGACAGCAAGAAGCUCCGUGCUUGGUCUAUCGUCCUCUACGCGUGCAUCAUCGUCGCGCUUCUCGGCCUCGUAGGCACAUACGCCGCUGGCAGCUGCAGGAAAGCUGGCACCACCGCCAAAGUGGUCAGCCUGGCCGGCGCCGCUCUGGCAUUGGCAUACUUGCUACUUUACACUUUGCCGUUUAAAUGCUCGUCUUUUUGUUCCAGUACGGCAAAAUCAACUGAUGCAACUCAGCACAGUGCUGGGGAGGCUCUGGACAAGGCUCGCUCUCUUGUUCUACUCCUCGCCACUCUUGCGGCCACCAUCACCUACACAGCAGGGUUGGACCCGCCGGGUGGCGUUUGGCAAGAGAACGGCAACGGGCACAUGGCCAGCGACCCGAUUCUCCUCACGACAAACGCUAGGAGGUACAAGGCCUUCUUCUACUGCAACUCAGUUGCGUUCGUGGUCUCCUUGGUGGCCAUCGUACUGGUCCAGACAGAGAAGCUGGUUGAGCACCACGUGCUGGAGGCAGCCAUGAUACUCGACCUGUUUGGCCUCAUUGGCGCUUAUGCUGCCGGGAGCUGCCGGGACGUGAGCACCUCCAUUUAUGCCAUGGCCUUGGCAGGUGCUGUCCUGGUCUAUGUGGUGAUCCAUGUCGUUUUCUUCACACUGGACCACAAGGACAAGGGAAACAACGACCAAGAAGAUCGGUCGCUGGAGAAGAGGCGCAAACGGUUGCUCCUCUUCGCAAUCUUGGCCGCGACCAUCACCUAUCAAGCCGGCCUCACCCCUCCUGGCGGCUUCUUGCUCCAGGACGACGAGCUCGGGCACCACGCUGGCGACCCGGUCCUCUUGUACAACUACCCAGCCCGCUACAACGCCUUCUUCUACUGCAAUUCGGUGAGCUUCAUGCUGUCCAUCGCCCUCAUCAUCCUCCUGGUGAACCCCAAUCUGUACAGGCCAGCCAUACGAAGCAAUGCGCUAUCUGUUUGUACGGCGGUGGGUUUGUUUUGUUUGAUGGGAGCCUACGCCGCCGGAAGCACGCAACACCUCAAGACAUCCAUCUACAUCUUCGUGUUGGUGGCUGUGGUUCUCGUCGUUGCAGUCGUACUGCUGCUAGUAUUUUUGCUGCUGAAUAGAAAUGACAGUGAUUCAGAAAAAGGGCAACUCACCGAUCAGAACAAAGAAGAAAGGAAGCAUGUAGAAGAAAAUAAUGGAGAUAAAGAAGAAAGGAAGGGGGAGAUAGAAGAAAAUAAUGAGGAUAAAGAAGAAAGGAAGAAGGAGGUAGAAGAAAAGAAGAAGGAAAGGAAGAAGCACGCGAGGCGCAAAUACCUGAUGCUACUAGGCAUCCUGGUGGCGAGUGUAGCCUACCAGGCUGGUCUGAAACCGCCGGGCGGAGCGUGGCAAAGCAACAAUGACGGGUACGAGGCGGGCAACCCGGUGAUGCAUGACAACAGGAGGCCCCGGUACCUUGCCUUCUUCUAUAGCAACUCCAUUUCCUUUAUGUCUUCUAUCGUUGUCAUCAUCAUGUUGCUACCGCAAUGGCUGCCAAAGGAGAAAGGAGAAUGGGAGAAAUGGUCGCUGAGGGUGAUGAACUGGACGAUCCGGCUUGAUUUGUUUGCUCUCCUAGUGGCCUAUGCAGCUGGCUCAAGCAGGGGGUGGAAAACGUCUGUUUAUGUCGGCACGCUCAUCAUUGCUGUGCUGGGCUACUUUGCAAUCCAUAUGAUGCUGUCAUAUAUUGUUCGCGGCCGUGAGAAGACCCCAGGCACGUCUGCAGCGUAG
rnacentral:rRNA from 1 species